UGAGGCAGGAGUAUUGCUUGAACCUGGGAGGUGGAGGUUGCAGUGAGCUGAGAUUGCGCCACUGCACUCCAGCCUGGGCGACACAGCAAGACUCUGUCUUGAA
rnacentral:miRNA from 10 species